UACAUGGGGUGCAAACGUUGCUCGGAAUUAUUGGGCGUAAAGCGCGCGUAGGCGGUUACUUAAGUCGGAUGUGAAAGCCCUCGGCUUAACUGAGGAAGUGCACCCGAAACUGAGUAGCUAGAGUACGAAAGAGGGUCGCGGAAUUCCCGGUGUAGAGGUGAAAUUCGUAGAUAUCUGGAGGAACACCGGUGGCGAAGGCGGCACCCUGGACCGACACUGACGCUGAGGAGCGAAAGCCAGGGGAGCAAACGGG
rnacentral:rRNA from 1 species